CCUACGUGAGGCAGCAGUGAGGAAUAUUGGUCAAUGGGCGCGAGCCUGAACCAGCCAAGUAGCGUGAAGGAUGACUGCCCUACGGGUUGUAAACUUCUUUUAUAAAGGAAUAAAGUGAGGCACGUGUGCCUUUUUGUAUUUACUUUAUGAAUAAGGAUCGGCUAACUCCGUUCCAGCAGCAGCGGUAAUACGGAGGAUCCGAGCGUUAUCCGGAUUUAUUGGGUUUAAAGGGAGCGUAGAUGGGUUGUUAAGUCAGUUGUGAAAGUUUGCGGCUCAACCGUAAAAUUGCACUUGAUACUGGCAGUCUUGAGUACAGGUGAGGUAGGCGGAAUUCGUGGUGUAGCGGUGAAAUGCGUAGAUAUAACGAAGAACUCCGAUUGCGAAGGCAGCUUACUAAACUGCCACUGACAUUGAUGCACGAAAGCGUGGGGAUCAAACAGGAUUAGAUACCCUGGUAGUC
rnacentral:rRNA from 1 species